AACUGGCUCACAAAAUGAACCGCCCUAAGGUAAUCUGUAUGGAAAAGAACUUGCUGCUUUGCCAAAGCCGAGACUCAGAGCUUGACCAACAUUACAAUCAGGAAUAGCACCAAAAAGGAAUCUGACCACCCAGUGGCCUGCACAUCAUAGCCCUGGAAAAAUGACACCAAAACCAACUGAGCUGAAGCCUUCUUGAACAGCUCAAAGGCCAAGUUAGACACUGUGUAACUGCGCCAAAAUGUGUGACCAUUGUAAUCCACAAGAACAAAACUUUAAACUCACAAAAGGCGAGUAAAAUUAAAAGGUAGAUAAAUACCAACCAUAGCCAAGGAAAGUCAGUGACUUAAUGCAUGCCCCAUGCGCAUGACUUACAG